rnacentral:rRNA from 1 species
UACGAAGGGGGCGAGCGUUGUUCGGAAUUAUUGGGCGUAAAGGGCGCGUAGGCGGUGCGGUAAGUCUAUGGUGAAAUCCCCGGGCUCAACCUGGGAACUGCAUUUGUGACUGUAGAGCUGGAGUACGGCAGAGGGGGAUGGAAUUCCGCGUGUAGCAGUGAAAUGCGUAGAUAUGCGGAGGAACACCGAUGGCGAAGGCAAUCCCCUGGGCCUGUACUGACGCUCAUGCACGAAAGCGUGGGGAGCAAACAGG